rnacentral:rRNA from 1 species
AACGAACGCUGGCGGCAUGCCUAACGCAUGCAAGUCGAACGAGACCUUCGGGUCUAGUGGCGCACGGGUGCGUAACGCGUGGGAACCUGCCCUUAGGUUCGGAAUAACUCCCCGAAAGGGGUGCUAAUACCGGAUAAUGUCUUCGGACCAAAGAUUUAUCGCCUUUGGAUGGGCCCGCGUUGGAUUAGCUAGUUGGUAGGGUAAAAGCCUACCAAGGCGACGAUCCAUAGCUGGUCUGAGAGGAUGAUCAGCCACACUGGGACUGAGACACGGCCCAGACUCCUACGGGAGGCAGCAGUGGGGAAUAUUGGACAAUGGGCGAAAGCCUGAUACAGCAAUGCCGCGUGAGUGAUGAAGGCCUUAGGGUUGUAAAGCUCUUUUACCCGGGAUGAUAAUGACAGUACCGGGAGAAUAAGCUCCGGCUAACUCCGUG